rnacentral:rRNA from 1 species
AUACGGAGGUUGCGAGCGUUAAUCGGAAUUACUGGGCGUAAAGGGUGCGUAGGCGGCUUGAUAAGUCGGAUGUGAAAGCCCCGGGCUUAACCUGGGAAUUGCAUUCGAUACUGUCAGGCUAGAGUAUGUCAGAGGUUGGCGGAAUUCCUGGUGUAGCGGUGAAAUGCGUAGAUAUCAGGAGGAACACCAGUGGCGAAGGCGGCUAACUGGGACAAUACUGACGCUGAGGCACGAAAGCGUGGGGAGCAAACAGGAUUAGAUACCCCAGUAGUCC